GCGACGCUUGUGCCGAGAAGACCGAUGUGGCUGCGUCUCCCGCAGCAGGCCGUCUCUCCUCUAAAACUUGGGAAGGCGCCGUGCCGUCGCCCCGGGUGUAGAAUCAGUGCCUCUUAUUUCUCACUCCCUCCUUCUCCGUGAUGCUUAGACGACUAAGUUUGGAUCCUGUGCUAUGUCUACUGGGAAGUGAACUCCACUAGCUGUUUCACAGAUGUCUUCAGGAAACGGGAAAGAUAUAAAUGUUUGAGGCUUUUAAAAAAAAUCACCUUUUUGGUAAUGUCUACGGAUGGAAAGGCAAGUUAUGUUGAAGUAUUUUAGCUUAUUUUUAUUUUAUCUUUGCAUUUUGUAAGCCACCUCAUGUGAGAAAGGUGGGGUAUAAAUACUGAAAUAAACAUUUUAACAAAAUGAAUAGCAUAUAAGAAAUUACUUUGUUUUCCCCAUUCCCACUAAUAUUUAUCCUUUCCUACAAACUAUUAAGAUUACUAGUAAAAACUCUCAACAAAAAUACCCUUAAUUGCGCAAAAAAAGAAAAAAGCUGGUAAACAUAAAAGCAUAAGACAUUUUGAUGUAACACACCACCUUCAAUUAAAUAAAUGAGCACAGAUGAAAACCUCCUCUUUUCCCCAGCUGUUCCUUAGAGGUGAUAACAUUCUGUUCCAUGACUUGCAGAGAGAUAGUGGGUGGGGUGGAGGAGAGAAAAGGAAUCACCUGAUUAUUCUCAGAGGCUAAUAAACUUUAUGGCAUUGGCCAACGCCUCCCGAGCAUUAAUGUCAGGUCUCAAUUUCUCUAUAAAUAAUACUUCCUUGAUUUUCCUUCUGUGUAGGUUCCUCUCAAACCCCAGAAUAGAUUCUUUAGUAGGCACCAUUUGGCCUUCAUGCUUAAUCCUCAUGUGCAGUGACCAGUGUUUCAUUUUCUGUGCACAAUGCCUCAUAUCUGCUAGAUGUUCUUUAUAGCUAUCUUUCAAGGAUUACGCAAUAUAGAAUGUAAAAACCCAAAAUGUCUUGCUACAUUUUUAACAAUAAAUAGAGAGAUGUUGCUCCUUUAUAGAGCAGGUUCCAGAUGUCUUCCCUUAAGUAGUACUGCUGUUGUCGCAAAUAAAUUAAAGUGUGCCGUCGAGUCGGUGUCAACUCCUGGCAACCACAGAGCCCUGUUGUUGUCUUUUGGAGACUACUGAAGGGGUUUACCAUUGCCAUCUCCUGUGCAAUAUGAAAUGAUGCCUUUCAGCAUCUUCCUAUAUAUCACUGCUGCCCAAUAUAGGUGUUCCCCAUAAUCUGGGAAACAUACCAGUGGGGAUUCGAACCGGCAACCUCUGGCUCGCUAGUCAAGCCGUUUCCUUGCUUCGCCAUUGCAUUGUAAAAGCAUAAAAAGAUAUUUUAGGGGAAAUGUGGAUCUCCCCAAGAAAGCUUGUUAUAUAUAUCAUGGUUGUUUGCUUAUCAAAUGCACCUGACCUAUCCUUAUUAAUCAAAUAGUGAAUGAUGAGAAGCAACAAAACUCUACUCCACUAUCCACUCUGACACUUUGAAACAUUUAUUUUAACUAGCAACAUGCUCACCAAGGGAUGGGAAUGCAUAUUGAGGGCUUAAGCCGGAAUGGCUGUUUCCAUAAUGUCAGUGCUGAGUCAACAUUGUUGACUGUGCUUGGAGGAGUGGGGAGGCUUAUCCCCAGUUGCCCCAAAUCCUGGGAAAUGUGGGCCUGCCUUCCAAAGAGAUGUAUUCUAAGAACAUAAGAAUGACCCAUCCUGUUUCACACAGUGGCCCACCAGAUGCCACUGGGAGCCUACAGGCAGGAGUUGAGGACAUGCCCUCUCUCCUGCUGUUACUCCCCUGAAACUGGUACUCUGAGGCUGGAGAUGGCCUAUAGCCCUCCAACUAGUAGCUGUUGAUAGACCUCCUCUAUGAAGUUAUCAAAAGCCCUUUUAAAGCCAUCCAGGUCCUCUUAAAGCCAUCCACCACAUCUUGUGGCAGAAAAUUCCACAAGUUGAUUAUGCAUUGUGUGAAAAAGUACUUCCGUUUGUUGGUCUUAAAUUUCGUGGCAAUCAAUUUCAUGGGAUGACCGUUGGUUCUAGUGUUAUGUGUGAGAGAGAAAAAUUUCUCUCUAUCCACUUUCUCCACACCAUGCAUAAUUUUAUAGACCUCUAUCAUGUCUC